rnacentral:rRNA from 1 species
GACGAACGCUGGCGGCGUGCUUAACACAUGCAAGUCGAACGGAAAGGCCCUGCUUGCAGGGUACUCGAGUGGCGAACGGGUGAGUAACACGUGGGUGAUCUGCCCUGCACUUCGGGAUAAGCCUGGGAAACUGGGUCUAAUACCGGAUAGGAGCCAUUUUUAGUGUGAUGGUUGGAAAGUUUUUUCGGUGUAGGAUGAGCUCGCGGCCUAUCAGCUUGUUGGUGGGGUAAUGGCCUACCAAGGCGGCGACGGGUAGCCGGCCUGAGAGGGUGGACGGCCACAUUGGGACUGAGAUACGGCCCAGACUCCUACGGGAGGCAGCAGUGGGGAAUAUUGCGCAAUGGGCGCAAGCCUGAUGCAGCGACGCCGCGUGGGGGAUGACGGCCUUCGGGUUGUAAACUCCUUUCGCUAGGGACGAAGCUUUUUGUGACGGUACCUAGAUAAGAAGCACCGGCUAACUACGUG